CAGAGUCUCACUCUGAGGUUUAUUUUGGGAAAGACGACUGCUGAGGAUCGGUGUGUGUACUGUGUGUCAGGCAUUUCAAAUCCACAUGAUCAAAACCUGGGCGAACCGGUGUUUCUGCUAAAUCUGCUUCAGUCACACGGGAAAGAUUGCGCUACUGUACAGGAUUGGGAUUUGGUGAUGUUGUAAGAUUAAAAAUGCGUCAUAAUGUGGAAUACAUGCGUCACAAUCAGGAGCUUUUGUACAGGAGUAGGUGAGGCAAAACCAGUGCAUUAUGGAGACAACCGUCGACGCAGAAAGGACAGAAAAAUGAAAAAGUCAAUCUAAGUGGAUGAUGUGUCUGUUUGCGCUGCUAUAUUGCACGAUGAGGGCUGAGUGACCGUCGGCCUCGGCUGAAACUCAGCAGAGGCCAGUCGCCGCACUGACGUCUCUCCUCUGCGUGAUGUAUUUUGAUGAGAAUACACUGGCUGUGGAGUGCAGGGCAGCGCUACAAUGGCCCAACAUUAGAGCUAAAUCCAGUUUGACAGGCGGAGGUCUCAGCUGCAGAUUAGCCUGACGGACUGUCUGUCUGGAUCAGAGUGAGUUCGGUUGGGCCACUGUAGCUCCACAAAGGGCUGAACAGGGAUGCAUGCUGGGACACAAAUUGAAGAGGCAGAGCUGGAGAGCUGGGUGUUUAGGAUUUGCCCACUCUCUUACUUUGGGCUUACUGCCGUGCUGUGUUUGCAGAUAUAUUCCACUUCACUGACCGGUCCUUCACUGACCGGUUGGGUGAAUGUUUGCCCUUCUCCCACCCAAGCAUGGCCCAAUUUGCUCACUGAAGUCUGGACCACCUGACUGGUAGCAGCAUGAGCAAGACGCUAACUGUCCAAAAUGACUCCAUCACACAGUUUUUCCUCCAGGACAAUGGAGAUACAUAACGUGUUGUUUCCAGGGUGUUUUUUACACAAUGCUCCAACAACAACAACAAAAGGUUGUUGACUUGUUUCGGAUGCAAUAAAACCACUAACGAUGCUGUCAACAGAGUGCACAACCCACUGAGCUACACAGAGCCACAUUGUGUCACACAGGACUUCUCCACAGAGAUGUCCAAGUGAGUCACAUGAAGAUCAGCAAUUUCAUGUGUAUACUGUCACAGCUGUGAAACAUGAUGGAAACUUUUCAAAUCAGAGGGUUUAUCUAUAUCCACACACAAGUUCUACAAACAUAUUUCUUACAAUCACAUGAUGGGCCGCUUCUGUGGAAGUACUGAGAGGCCGACUCUCACUAAAUGAAAACAUCAUUUGUCUUUUUGGUGUAUUUGAUGGUCAAACUCCCUUAUAAAGCAUUAAUAACUGAGUAAGGUAUUUUCUGUUUCCUGUCCCAACCAAAAUAAUGGAAAGUAAUCAUUUCCUCAUCUCUGAAGUCAUUUUAAGUCACACUGAUACUGCGGUUGUGUUUUGUGGUGGUUUCUGUACUGUGUGUGUGUGUAGGUGUGAAAUGCAGAGAGGAGGGGUGUUGUUACAGACAGGGCAUGGCUGUCAGCCUGAGUUAAUUACAGCACACUGGCCUCUCACUGUACAAUGUUCAGAAAUGUUUUUACUGCUGUGUUAGGCUAUAAUAAACCCACACAAUACAUACAACGUGGACAAAUAUAA